AUGGGAUCCCAUAACCCACGCAGCGAAAGGACUUGAGAGCCGCUGUCCUGCACACUCCAUGGUUGACACAAAGGAUUUUUCUUUUCUUAAGAAAGUGAGACAAGUGGUGACAGAGAUGGAGAUGAAGAGGUAGGAGCUGAAAGGCAAUAGUUAUUGGCAUCAGAGAAGAGAAUAGACAAACCUCAGGACAGUCAUUAAUGAAAGUGUAUCAUGUGUUAUUGAUAACUUUUGAGGGGGAGGAGUGCAUGCCCUUUUCAGAUACCUUCUGCUGGAACUCAAGAAACUACCAAGUCUCAGAACGCCUCCUGUCAGUCUUUAGAUGUGUGAUGAGAAGGAGUGCAUGCUUUGAUCCGAAGAAGCAGGAUCUGUAUUUACUUGGGAGAAACUCACACAUCGGUGGUAUUGGGUAGACCUGGUCCCUGAAAUGCUUCCUGAGUGCCUACUCUGUAGCAGAUCUUGAGCUGGAUGGCUGAGAAAUAGAAAGAUGAAUUUG